UACGUAGGUGGCAAGCGUUGUCCGGAUUUACUGGGCGUAAAGAGCGCGCAGGCGGUCGAUUAAGUCGAAUGUGAAAGCCCCCGGCUCAACUGGGGAGGGUCAUUCGAUACUGAUCGACUUGAAGGCAGGAGAGAGAAGUGGAAUUCCCGGUGUAGUGGUGAAAUGCGUAGAUAUCGGGAGGAACACCAGUGGCGAAGGCGGGUCUCUGGGCCGAUACUGACGCUGAGGAGCGAAAGCGUGGGGAGCGAACAGG
rnacentral:rRNA from 1 species